UACGAAGGGGGCUAGCGUUGCUCGGAUUGACUGGGCGUAAAGGGCGCGUAGGCGGUUCGUACAGUCAGACGUGAAAUUCCUGGGCUCAACCUGGGGGCUGCGUUUGAUACGUGCGGACUUGAGUGCGGAAGAGGGUCGUGGAAUUCCCAGUGUAGAGGUGAAAUUCGUAGAUAUUGGGAAGAACACCCGUGGCGAAGGCGGCUCUCUGGGACGGUACUGACGCUGAGACGCGAAAGCGUGGAGAGCAAACAGG
rnacentral:rRNA from 1 species